rnacentral:tRNA from 1 species
CCCUCGAUAGCUCAGUUGGCAGAGCGCAGGACUGUAGAUGUUACAACGGUGAUCCUUAGGUCGCUGGUUCAAAUUCGGCUCGAGGGA